rnacentral:rRNA from 1 species
CCCUUAGAUGUUCUGGGCCGCACGCGCGCUACACUGAUGCAUUCAACGAGUUUUUCCUUGGCCGAGAGGCCUGGGCAAUCUUUUGAACGUGCAUCGUGAUAGGGAUAGAUUAUUGCAAUUAUUAAUCUUGAACGAGGAAUUCCUAGUAAACGCAGAUCAUCAAUCUGCAUUGAUUACGUCCCUGCCCUUUGUACACACCGCCCGUCGCACCUACCGAUUGAAUGGUCCGGUGAAGCCUCGGGAUUGUGGCGAGUUCCCUUUAUUGGGAGUUUGUCGCGAGAACUUGUCUAAACCUUAUCAUUUAGAGGAAGGUGAAGUCGUAACA